rnacentral:tRNA from 1 species
CAGGGUGUAGCAUAUAAAAAUGCAUCUCGCUUACACUGAGAAUAUGCUGAAUUAUUCAGCCGCCUUAA